rnacentral:lncRNA from 1 species
AAAAAUAUGAAACCUUAAAUCUAGCCUCAUAAAAAUAUUUCUGACAUCUCUGCCAAUUUUCAUAAUUUUCUGAGACUGUGCAUUUUCUGCUUAUUUAUCUGUCCCGUUUUCAACAGAAAAUUCUAGAUCUUCUGUUUUCAUUCCGAUUUCAUCAUAAGUCACUUCUGACUCAUGUUUUAUUUCUACAAAUCCAAUAGAAAUAGUUUCUCACACUAU